rnacentral:sRNA from 1 species
ACUUUGCGCAUGCGCCCCAGCUCUUGGAGGACCUGCGGCUCCGCCCCAGAGGCCGCCAUCUUCCUGACCACCCGAAAGGCCGGACCUACUCCCCGGUGCAUCUUGGGAUCAGGGCGGGGCCCUGAGCGCCGCCAUGCUUUUGUACGGCAGGAUCGCAAAGCACGCCGGGACCGGUUGGUUUGGUUUUGAAGACGUGGAUGGCGGGAAUUCUCGCUUCUGGCCUGGCAAGGACAUUGGAGUCCCUAUCACCGGUUGCCUAGACAACUUCAUGGGAAGGCCCUUGGGAAUCUGAGAUGGAGCAGGCGAACCCUUUACGUCCAGAUGGCGAGUCCAAAGGAGGUGUUUUAGCUCACUUGGAAAGGCUAGAGACCCAAGUGAGCAGAUCCCAUAAACAGUCUGAAGAGCUGCAGAGCGUGCAGGCCCAGGAAGGUGCUCUUGGAACCAAGAUUCAUAAACUCA